UACGUAGGUUGCAAGCGUUAAUCGGAAUUACUGGGCGUAAAGCGUGCGCAGGCGGUUCGCUAAGACAGAUGUGAAAUCCCCGGGCUUAACCUGGGAACUGCAUUUGUGACUGGCGGGCUAGAGUAUGGCAGAGGGGGGUAGAAUUCCACGUGUAGCAGUGAAAUGCGUAGAGAUGUGGAGGAAUACCGAUGGCGAAGGCAGCCCCCUGGGCCAAUACUGACGCUCAUGCACGAAAGCGUGGGGAGCAAACAGG
rnacentral:rRNA from 1 species